UAUUGCACAAUGGGCGCAAGCCUGAUGCAGCCAUGCCGCGUGUGUGAAGAAGGCCUUCGGGUUGUAAAGCACUUUCAGUCAGGAGGAAAGGUUAGUAGUUAAUACCUGCUAGCUGUGACGUUACUGACAGAAGAAGCACCGGCUGACUCCGUGCCAGCAGCCGCGGUAAUACGGAGGGUGCGAGCGUUAAUCGGAAUUACUGGGCGUAAAGCGUACGCAGGCGGUUUGUUAAGCGAGAUGUGAAAGCCCCGGGCUCAACCUGGGAACUGCAUUUCGAACUGGCAAACUAGAGUGUGAUAGAGGGUGGUAGAAUUUCAGGUGUAGCGGUGAAAUGCGUAGAGAUUUGAAGGAAUACCGAUGGCGAAGGCAGCCACCUGGGUCAACACUGACGCUCAUUACGGAG
rnacentral:rRNA from 1 species